GUGAGGAAUUUUCCGCAAUGGGCGAAAGCCUGACGGAGCAAUGCCGCGUGAAGGAUGAAGGCCUAUGGGUUGUAAACUUCUUUUCUCAGAAAAGAAUUAUGACGGUAUCUGAGGAAUAAGCAUCGGCUAACUCUGUGCCAGCAGCCGCGGUAAGACAGGGGAUGCAAGCGUUAUCCGGAAUGAUUGGGCGUAAAGCGUCUGUAGGUUGUUUAAAAAGUAUUCUGUCAAAGAUUAGGGCUUAUCCCUAGAUAGGCAGAAUAAACUUUUAAGCUAGAGUGUGGUAGAGGCAGAGGGAAUUCCCGGUGGAGCGGUGAAAUGCGUAGAUAUCGGGAGGAACACCAAAGGCGAAGGCACUCUGCUGGGCCAAUACUAACACUGAGAGACGAAAGCGAGGGGAGCAAAUGGGAUUAGAAACCCGUGUAGUCC
rnacentral:rRNA from 1 species